AUGCUUCUUAAUGUGCUUUCUAAAAAUAAAAUUACAUUCAGGUAUACAGCUCUCCCGGCUUCCCAAUGCUCAGGGAAUUGUCUUAAUGCAAAUUCUAUAACGGCCUUGUUUCAAAGCAAACCCGGCUCCGGCUCCGUCAGUGCCCUACAGAUGCUCCGUGCACUUUCAGAAGGAYGCCAGGCGCCUGUCUGCUACGCAGGGGUCCAAAUUUCAGCUCAUCUCAGGUCAGUGGAAAGUCAGGAGACUUGGCACGGUCAGACCCUACGUGAGAGCCAGGGUCACCUCUCCAGCAUAUUURGGCACGGCCACGCUGAGGGCCCUCUGCUCCACGACCAGGAGCUGUCGGAGGUCAGCACCAAAGUCCCCCCCCGGCACGUGCGACGUGGGGCUUGCUGUCACCAGAGCGGUAGCAGACACCGCCAAGGUUUGCCCUGGGAGGUAUCCCAGCUGGAGAGCAGCACUGGUUUGAAUUAUACAGCAGGCUGUUGUGCAGAAGACUCAUUUGCAGUAAUUAGAAGCAUCAUGUGCUGGCACGGGAGGACUUCAAAGAGCACCCAGAGCCUAGACGGCAAAAGUCACCCUUUUGGUGGUCAACAUGCAAAAUUCACACGUGCCCCAGAGCAUCUCUUAAUAAACCAAAAUCAUGCAGAAUUCUCUUUUUCAGCUCCCUGCAACACUGCUUCCAAGGAAAGUAAAGAUUCGUGCUCUGUUACAUCUUUCAACACGUGCAGCUCACAUACGUGCGCACACAUACACCCCCCACCCAUGCAGACGUACGCUCUGCUUUUCUUCUGCCUUUCGCUAAAACUGAACACAAACAAGGGCCCGUGUAUAUUGAAAUCCGUAGGAAGCUUAACAUUUACUUGGCUUUUGUGUAAACACUUACGUGAAUUACAGAAGUUUCAGCCAAGAGGCUGGGAACCCCGUUGUGCAAAGCCAUAUAAUUCAUUACAAUUAAAAGCACGGAGAGAGGCAAUCAGGCUUGCACGACAGCGGGCUGUUAUGGAUUUGCUCUUCCAAAUGGAAUCCAAUUUGUCUUCCCAGCAACGCAGCUUCCCCGCGAGAAACCUCUUCGCCUUGCAGCGCCCUUCCUGCACGCCGACCGCAGCCCGCGGCUGCCCGUCCCUUAGCUGUCACCGGCUUUGCUACCGGAGGCUGCUCGACUCACAGCCCCGGCCACGCUGCUUAGAAACACAGCGAAAAAUGAGUUUUUUCAAAGCACAGGCAAGGUGGGGUGGUGGCACCCAAUGGCAGCUGAAUUACGGGAAACUCAAGGGAUGGGUGAAUCCCACCUCCCGAACUGUCCCGGCCACAGCUGGACCAUGCCAAACCCCGCGAUGCUCAACAGCUCCACCAUGCCAAGACAUCUGCGCCCGAGGAGGGUCGGGGUCCUCCCACGGGAGUGCUCUGAGCCGGGCACGGGGCUUGGGGCGCAGGGUGCUGCGCRGGUUUUUGUCAGGGCUGGGCCUCCCUAGGUGA
rnacentral:lncRNA from 1 species